rnacentral:rRNA from 1 species
GGAAUAUUGGACAAUGGGCGCAAGCCUGAUCCAGCCAUACCGCGUGGGUGAAGAAGGCCUUCGGGUUGUAAAGCCCUUUUGUUGGGAAAGAAAUCCAGCCGGCUAAUACCUGGUUGGGAUGACGGUACCCAAAGAAUAAGCACCGGCUAACUUCGUGCCAGCAGCCGCGGUAAUACGAAGGGUGCAAGCGUUACUCGGAAUUACUGGGCGUAAAGCGUGCGUAGGUGGUUGUUUAAGUCUGUUGUGAAAGCCCUGGGCUCAACCUGGGAAUUGCAGUGGAUACUGGGCGACUAGAGUGUGGUAGAGGGUAGUGGAAUUCCCGGUGUAGCAGUGAAAUGCGUAGAGAUCGGGAGGAACAUCCAUGGCGAAGGCAGCUACCUGGACCAACACUGACACUGAGGCACGAAAGCGUGGGGAGCAAACAGGAUUAGAUACCCCUG